CCUCAGGCUAAGGAUUCAGCUUCACACACAGAUUCACUGCAGAUCCAGGGAAGCCAGGAAUAAAUGGGUACUGUGUAUCAGCACUGAGUGGGUUUAAAGACAUACUCUCUGCCCUUACGGAUAGCUUGAGAGCAGUCCCUUGAGGGAACUUCUAAGGCAGAAGACCAUGCUGUGAAAUCAAGAGACCCUCCAAUCAAACUUACACUGUCCAGAAUGGAAGGUGUCCAUCCCAGGGCCCCUGCCCACCUCUUGAUCUCUGAACCUACUCACUCUCCACCUCUUCCUUGCGUCGGCAUGCAUCCUGUUUAUAAGUGUAUCCUGUUUCCAGAAUGUCCUCUGAGCUUAAAAUAGGAGUUCAGAACCCAUCAGAAGCUCACUGCUGGUUUUGCCUGCUCAGUAUUCCUUUCUUUUCUGGAAACAUAAGGAUCCCCUCUGUGGAGAAGCUUAUUCAUGGGGCUUAAUUAGGGGCCCCACCCCACCAUCUUCUAUGCCAGAGAGGUGGUUAUGAGCAUAUACGCAUAUAAGCUCAGGUUUAAGCUUUCAGUAGUCAACUUGUUCCACUCUGAGAGUAGAAGACAAGAGCUCAGGAGGGAGGCAGCUGAUGAAGUCCUGAGUCACUGCUUGAAUCACUUAAUGGAGAUAAUGUCAGCGCCCCACCCAGAUCCCAGCUAUGAGGCCAGCACAGCCACCCAUAAGGGUCUCCUGGAGUUGUUGACUUCAAGCCCUUUCUUUAGAGACUUGCCUUCGCCAGAAAAACACUUGGGCCUAAUAAUUCCCAAGAGGUCGCAUCUCUAUUUGAGAGGCAGACCACAGCCAGUGCCUGACUAAUGUGGGACAUAAGAGUCCAUUCCUUUUGCUUCAAUGGUGGAGUACAGCAGAGUUGGCCACAGAAGCAGGCUAAAGCCAAAUUCUAGCCGCAAUGACUUUCUUCAUCUGAUUCUCCUCCUGAUACUUCUCACCCACAGAACCAUGUCUUGAAGCUUCUUUCCAGAACACUCCCUGAAUAUAAAGGCUUGCAUAAAAGCCUCUAUGGCAAAUUCUGCUUAGAGUGCCCAGCCUGAGUGGCCCCUUGAACAGCACAUGCCUGCAACAAGAACCAUGGGCUUCCACCCCUAAGAGCCCCCACGUUCUUCUCUUUCAUUGAAGUUCCUUGAGACUGCAUGUCCAGCUGCUAUAUUUGACCUUGAAUACCUUCUGUUUAGUGAAAAUAAAGCUUCAGACGUCAUUCCUUUUACUUAACUCCAUCUUCGUCAUCAUCACAGAGUGAAGUGAGCUGCCAGCAGGCUGCUGGCUCCCUGGGGAGUCACGUGCCUGGCCCAUGCAGGCAGGCACAUUCCCAUACCCAGCACCAACCACCUCACUGCAAACAGAGACUGUCGCACCUCCCCACACUUUAUUCAGAGUGUGAUUCUAAAAAAGGUUGCCAGGUCAGACCAGAUUUCAGCUGCAAUAAAGAGGACCAACUGCUUAGUCUCUCUUCUGUCUGUGUUGAAUACAAAUAAUACUUGUAUUUGUAAUAAAAUGUUUA